CAUCUACUCCCUCCGUCCGAAAAUACUUGUCAUCAAAAUGAAUAAAAGGGGAUGUAUCUAGAUGUAUUUUAGUUUUAGAUACAUCAUUUUUUGUUUAUUUUGAUGACAAGUAUUUUCGGACGGAGGGAGUACCUG
rnacentral:pre_miRNA from 1 species